rnacentral:rRNA from 2 species
CNAUACUGCAGUCGAGCGGACUUUNAAAGCUUGCUUUUAAAGUUAGCGGCGGACGGGUGAGUAACACGUGGGCAACCUGCCUGUAAGACUGGGAUAACUUCGGGAAACCGGAGCUAAUACCGGAUAAUCCUUUUNCUCUCAUGAGGAAAAGCUGAAAGACGGUUUACGCUGUCACUUACAGAUGGGCCCGCGGCGCAUUAGCUAGUUGGUGAGGUAACGGCUCACCAAGGCGACGAUGCGUAGCCGACCUGAGAGGGUGAUCGGCCACACUGGGACUGAGACACGGCCCAGACUCCUACGGGAGGCAGCAGUAGGGAAUCUUCCGCAAUGGACGAAAGUCUGACGGAGCAACGCCGCGUGAGUGAUGAAGGUUUUCGGAUCGUAAAACUCUGUUGUUAGGGAAGAACAAGUACAAGAGUAACUGCUUGUACCUUGACGGUACCUAACCAGAAAGCCACGGCUAACUACGUGCCAGCAGCCGCGGUAAUACGUAGGUGGCAAGCGUUGUCCGGAAUUAUUGGGCGUAAAGCGCGCGCAGGCGGUCCUUUAAGUCUGAUGUGAAAGCCCACGGCUCAACCGUGGAGGGUCAUUGGAAACUGGGGGACUUGAGUGCAGAAGAGAAGAGUGGAAUUCCACGUGUAGCNNAAA